rnacentral:rRNA from 1 species
AUGUAUAUUGACGACGCAUUAUUAAUUGCAUGUCCACUGAGACCUUCCCACAAUGUUGUGGCCAUUAUCAGGUCUUUAUCUUUUUUUUAUUGGCAUGUGCAACCACGUAUCACAAUUUGUGGAGCUAAUUUCUUCAUCGGGUUUUUUUAUUGGCAAUGUGCAGCCACACAUUACAAUUUUGGAGUUAAUUUCUCCAUCAGGUCUUUCUUUCUUUUCUAUUUCACCAUCGUGUCUUUAUUUCUUUUCUUUCAUUGGCCUGUGCAGCCACGCAUCACAAUUUGUGGACUUCAUUGGGCAUCACAAUUUGUGGAGUUAAUUUCUCCUUCGGGUCUUUCUUUCUUCCCUUUUCCUUUGUUCCUAGAAUAA